GACGAACGCUGGCGGCGUGCCUAAUACAUGCAAGUAGAACGCUGAAGGAGGAGCUUGCUCUUCUGGAUGAGUUGCGAACGGGUGAGUAACGCGUAGGUAACCUGCCUGGUAGCGGGGGAUAACUAUUGGAAACGAUAGCUAAUACCGCAUAAGAGUAGAUGUUGCAUGACAUUUACUUAAAAGGUGCAAUUGCAUCACUACCAGAUGGACCUGCGUUGUAUUAGCUAGUUGGUGGGGUAACGGCUUACCAAGGCGACGAUACAUAGCCGACCUGAGAGGGUGAUAGGCCACACUGGGAAUGAGACACGGCCCAGAAUCCAACGGGAGGCAGCAGGAGGGAAUCUUCGGCAAUGGACGGAAGUCUGACCGAGCAACGCCGCGGGAGUGAAGAAGGGUGUCGGAUCGUAAAGCUCCGUUGUAAGAGAAGAACGAGUGUGAGAGUGGAAAGUGCACACUGUGACGGUAUCUUACCAGAAAGGGACGGCUAACUACGUG
rnacentral:rRNA from 1 species